rnacentral:rRNA from 1 species
GCCUAUGGCCAUGCCGCCGUGAAUAAGCCCAAUCCCACCUGAUCUUGGAAGCUAAGCAGGGUCGGGCCUGGUUAGUAUUUGGAUGGGAGACCACCUAGGAAGACCAGGUUUUAUAGGCA